AUGGACCAGGCAUCAACAUGUGUGCUAGAAGUUAGGAUAUGUAGCAGUCGCCGUAACUUCAGCGGAGGUUUUUCCUUCAGUUGGAGCAUUGAUUUGCAUGCUAUCACUACUAUGAAGGGGUUUCUAGAUGCUAUUUCUGCACAGUACUCUUGGGUUGUGUGGUCUGAUGAUGAAACUAUCAUUGUAGAAUGGUUUGAUAGUAUUAGUGAGAAAUACAAACCUGUUGCAAAUGAUGAAGAGUUGAUGACAAUGUUUGAGUGUUUUAAGCAAGUUAGACAUGGCAAAGUAGCACUUAAAGUUUUAAAUGAACAUGAAAAAAGGGAUGAGUUAAAUGCUGAUAUGCCAUCUACUCCUUCACAUGCAACACCUUCUCUAGCACUGCCUAGUCAGCCAAGUAAUGUCAGUGAAGAAACUGAAGAACCUACGGAUACAUAUCUAGCGAAUCCACACGAGGAAUAUGAACAUGUAGGUGUUGAUGAGGAAGACCAGUACUCAAUUGGUAGUGCUUGCUCGGAUUCCGAUAGUAGUGAGGAUGAGCUUGAUAAUGUUGUAGUUGAUGUGGACGGUGUUGAGGACAGCAGUGAUGAUGAGGAGUGGAUUGUAGAAGAUGCUAUACCGGAUGAUGCUCCUCCG
rnacentral:rRNA from 1 species